UUUUAAAAUUUCUUGUAAAUCUCUUAAAACCCUUUUAAAAUCCCUUGUAAAUCAAUUUGCUGCCAAAAAAUAUUUACAAUGAUUUUUAAAAUCAUUUUGGCUGAGGAAAAAUUUGGCGGGAAAUUUUUUUUUAGCUGGAAAAAAAUUUUUUGGCGCAAAGUUCAGUUUCCAAUUACAUGUUUCUAUUAAAUGAGGGUAAUUUGGUCAUUUUGUUCAAGGGAAGGGGUAUUUUUAAAAAUGGACAACAUAAAAGAGUAUUGUUGCAAAAUGGUAGUAAAAAAAGGUAGUUUUGCAAAUCUUCCUAUUAACAACUACUUUUCAGAAAAACCUUAAUGUCGCCUUUAUAUAUAAAUAAUAGUUUUAUUAUACAAAAUGAAUAGUUUUAUCCAAAAAAGUGAGUUAUACAUUAAUACUUUCAAAUUGAUCCCAAUAACAUUUCAA
rnacentral:sRNA from 1 species